rnacentral:rRNA from 1 species
UGGGUAACCUGCCUCAAAGAGGGGAAUAGCCUCCCCGAAAAGGGGAGAUUAAUACCGCAUAAUAUGUUUAAGUCGCAUGACUUUAACAUCAAAGGAUUUCUUUUAGAAAUUCCACUUUGAGAUGGACCCCGCGGCGCAUUAGCUAGUUGGUGAGGUAACGGCUCACCAAGGCAACGAUGCGUAGCCGACCUGAGAGGGUGAUCGGCCACAUUGGAACUGAGACGCGGUACCAAACUCCGUACGGGAGCAG